ACCAUGACAUCGCCCACAAGUCUGAUCUGGGAUUUCGAUUGGAGAAGCAGUUUUAGCCAAUCAUCAAAUUGUACUGUCUUUGACGUAACGUUUUUUAAAUUUAUUUUACUUGGCAAGUCAGUUAAAAAGAAAUUCUUAUUUUACAAUGACUGCCUACCCCGGGCGACACUGGGCCAAUUGUGCGCGCCCCUAUGGGAUUCCCAAACACGGCCGGUUCGGCACUGAGAUGCAGUGGCUUAGACCGCUGCGCCACUCUGGAGGGGUAACGUUACUGGGCCUGAACUGGGCUCACUUUUUGGUUUGAAGGAGCGUAUGGGUCGGUGCACAAUGCAACAACUUAUAUGAAUUACAUAUUCCCGGACGUCAUUAUCUGAAGUGAAAUUGAAAAUCCAGCAGAUGGCGCAGGAACUCCGUUCAAGAUAUGCAGAUUUCAACAUAACCAGCACAAGUACAGCUCGUCACCAAGGUGGGCUCCGGAGAGGGGGGACUUGAUACAUAGUAGACAGUUAUUGCAUUGAGAUGAUGCUGAUAUUCUAUAGUCCAGCUCAUUUAGGAACAACUUUGCAGACAACCACCGCCACAACAUGUAAAAUCCUCAAAGGUCGCUGCGAGAAGCGGCACUGCCUUUUCAACAGAACUCUGCUUAUUAUUGGAUGUAUGUAUUACAGUAGGUUAUGAAAUCUGACUUUUUGGAUAUAAUGUUAAUGAUAUUUGCCUGGGUAAAAUGUAUUUGAUAAGAUAAGGAAGUGAAAUUUCAGCACCAAAGUGUGUUUUCAACCACUAUGGGCAAUUCCACUAAUGGAAUUACGCUUUGGCUCAGUUUUUUCACUUUAAAAUUUAUGCCAAACAAAAACCAUUUGAUUUCAAAGUUUUACAAACCAUACAACUCUAUGCACAAGGACUAUAUUUAACAAUUUCCACUGAAAAAUGUACAAAAAUACAUUUAGUGGAAGAACGGGGCAGAUGCUAACUUUGGUAACAGAAUUACGGUAAAAUCAGGUUUUUAUAAGACCACGUUUUCCCAAACUCUGUUAAAUAUAAGAAUCUGCUAUGACAUAGCACCUUAAGUUUAAAAAAAAUAUAUCUUGGUUAUUGAACUACAGUAAGUAAAGUGGAUUUACACCUGGUAACGGAAUUACAAUAAUGGACUUACAUCAUGGGUCCCUGAUCUGAACUAAACAGAAAUGCAUAAUUAUAGAUAUGAAUGUCAUUCUCAUGUUUCACAAGGUUGGACAUCACAGCGCAGCGCAGUAGAGUACAGUGCAGUACAAUGCAGUGGAGUUCAGUGCAGUAGAGUACAGUUCAUUACAGUAGAUUAGAGUACAAUACAAGAUAAUCAUUCAUAAACAAAAUUGAUCAGUAAAAUCACUAAAUUAAUUGUUGUACUUUUCAGACUUAAUCCAGUACAAUAUACUGUACUCUACUGUACUAUAAUCCACUUUUCUUUACUGUAUUGUACUGUACUAUUGUAUUGGUCUUUACUAUACUGUGCUCUACUCACUACUGUAUUGUACUAUACUGUGCUGUACUCACUGUACUGGACUGUGUCAUCCAAACUUGUGAAACAUACAGUACGUCUAUGAUAGGUUCAGAUUUGGUCCAGUCCGGUCCAUCUGUAGACGUUAACAUCAAGGCACUGGUGGACUGACCAAAUUUUAACGUCCAUGGACGUCCAGUGUCGGUCGGUGCUGCUUACAGUAAAUGGAAAGAGCGAGGGCUCAUGGGUAGAUGUCAGUAAGAGCUGGCAGAGGUGACGUUGACAGGAGAGUGAGAGAGAGGGAGGGGUUGGUCCAGACUGACUGCUUUAACACUCUUGGUUUGACCACCAGACAACAGAAAGACAAAGGAAACAAUUAUGAGCUGAACAUAACAGUAUGGUCCAGCAGGUGACCCAACUGUGGUUCGUGACCAUUAUGUUUUCCCAUUGUAGCCAAUUAGGUUGCAGUGAAUCUGUUACUUAUUCUUUGGUAAUUAUGAGUUUUAACCACUUAAUCAUUCAUAAACAAAAUUGAUAUAAGUAAAAUCACUAUAACUAAUUGUUUUACUUUUCAGACUUAUUCCAGUACCUGUUUGCCCAUCAAAAGCCACAGGAAGAGUUUUGAUGUAGGCCUAGGGCUUGUGUGCGCGGGGUGUUAAUACUUUAAACCCCCUCCACCAGAACCCAUGUUAUCAGUCAUGAGAUAUGCAUCUACUAAUCCAUGCCACAGGGGUGGCUGGGAUUCUUUGAUUCCCAGGCAUUAUCUCUCACUCUUUGAAUUAACCCUUUGCUCAAGUGGGAAUUGGCCUAUAUGGAUUGGGCAAAAUUGAAAUGUUUCUUACAGAAGAAAUAUGAAAUGCAUAACCCUGGUAGCAAUCAAAAGGGAACAGUUUGGAGAUUAUGUGGUAAUUAUUCAACCUAAAUUGAGGACACAACUGAUCUCCUGACACAAUACUGAAUCCAAACAUUACACUGUUGAUUUUAUGUGUAUUUUACAUUUACUUUACACUGCGUUUGUUUAUAACAAAAUCUGAAAAUACUCAGGAUACCUUCAUUAACGUGACAAUAAAAUUCCUUGAAAUGUAGUGUAGGUGCAACAUAAGAUAAAAACAUGACAAUGGUUUGAGUGAGAGGACAAAUUGGUGUCUCCAAGUGGCCACAUACCUCACCAAAGUAUGCACAAGUUCCAAAGUAAUUUCAAUGCACUUUUAUGACUCAUAAAGAGUAACUAUAAAGUGCUUUUUUGUUUGUUCUUCUAGCUGUGCCGUUGAGGAACUAGAGCAAGCAAACUUGUAGUUGUUUUGUUUGGAACACAAUCCUGCAUCCCCACCAUCACAAUCCAAAAAUGGCCCAUUAUAAAUCACAAUCUGGGUCAGGUGGACAUAAUUUGAAAGCUUUUGAUAUUGCUAAAAAAACGUCUCAAUUAGAUGUUAACUACAAGGUAGCCUAUGCCUACCUGGCAGAAUGAUAUCAUGAUUAUUUGAAUCAAUCCAGUGGCCAUUUCUUUUGCAAACUCUGCAAUUACAUGAGCGCUACAGACAAACAAUGGUCACAACAAAAUGGUCACAACCCCCAAAUGUCAACAUUUCUUAACUUUUAAGGUCUCCUGAUGGGAUUUAAGCAUUGUUAUGAAAUUUGAACAUCCAAUUAGGUUGUUUUUCUAGUUUUAAAAAAGUGUGGAAAAACAAAA